UUUUAUUCAUAGGGUGCAGGUGAUUUCUGUUUAGAAAUCGUAAAAGGGAAGUUGAUGAGAAGCCAACGCGGUCCCGCCACUGUAUUUGCGAGCUAGCUGUGUGUUACCACUGUACGUUAGUAUGGGAAGGGGCACAGCGAGUGUUGACCAUAAGCCAGGAGACCUGCCUGCAACCCCGAUGCACC
rnacentral:ncRNA from 2 species